rnacentral:rRNA from 1 species
GUAACACGUAUGCAACCUACCCUUUACUGGGGCAUAGCUCAGAGAAAUCUGAAUUAAUUCCCCAUAAUACAAUUGAAUGGCAUCAUUUAAUUAUUAAAGCUGAGGCGGUAAAGGAUGGGCAUGCGUUGCAUUAGCUAGUUGGUGAGGUAAUGGCUCACCAAGGCUACGAUGCAUAGGGGUUCUGAGAGGAUGAUCCCCCACACUGGUACUGAGACACGGACCAGACUCCUACGGGAGGCAGCAGUAGGGAAUAUUGGUCAAUGGACGCAAGUCUGAACCAGCCAUGCCGCGUGCAGGAAGACGGCCCUCUGGGUUGUAAACUGCUUUUAUAUGGGAAGAAACCUCAUUAUGCGUAAUGAACUGACGGUACCAUAUGAAUAAGGAUCGGCUAACUUCGUGCCAGCAGCCGCGGUAAGACGAAGGAUCCAAGCGUUGUCCGGAUUUACUGGGGUUAAAGGGUGCGUAGGCGGAAUUUUAAGUCAGUGGUGAAAGCCCUUCGCUCAACGAAGGAACUGCCAUUGAAACUGAAAUUCGUGAAUACGGUUGAGGUAGAUGGAAUAUAACAUGUAGCGGUGAAAUGCUUAGAUAUGUUAUAGAACACCGAUUGCGAAGGCAGUCUACUAAGCCGUGAUUGACGCUGAGGCA